CCCGCUACCGAUAAAAAGGAAAAAGACAAAAAACAAAAAACAAAACAAAAAAAAAAGAAAGUAUUUGGAUUGCACAGAGGGGUGCAGGGGUAACACCGACACAGCGCCCCACACGUGCUGCAGCAGGAGCACUUGCUCUCCCUAGGUCGACACAGACCCUGGUUCUGAUCCCAGCGCCGACCCCACGGGCUGUAUGAUCCAGGUAAGUGUCUCAUCCUCCCUGUGCCGUAGAUCAAGAGCCGCGAUGUGAAUCGGUUGAUAGGAUCCUCUAGUUGCCACCAGGGACACAGAGUGACAAUAGUCACUGCUUUGUUUGCUUUCUGGGAUGCCAGAUACAGGGUCUAAGCUCUUCAGGCCUCAGCCCUCCCCCCCCCCCAGGCCCCUGCAGCGCCUUAGGGGAAGGGUGCCCCUGGAGGCCUCAGCGGGAACCACACCAGCCAGGCACUGGACGGCUGUGGCUCAGGCCCACCUGCCCAGGCCCAGCCUGGCAGGUCCCCCACUGGGGGGGGGCAGGAAUGGGCACCUUUCUGCUCCUCCCUGUCGUGCAGAAAGUGGGGACACAGUUGUGAUCUCAGCUACCCCAAAGGCUGAGGCAGGACAAUCGCCAAAUUCCAGGCGAGCCUGGGCAGCUUAGCAGGCCCCCUGGCCCCAGGUGCUAGGUGUUGAAGGGCUGGGGAGGUGGUCCUGUGGUGAGCGCCUGGGGUUUGGUCCCCAGGGCCCUGUGAACAGAAGCAUACUGAAGAAGGCAAGAAACCAAAGACAGAAAAGGGACCCAAAGAACCCUCGUCCUGCACCAGGGCCUCACCCCAGCUCUGACCCCACCUCCUCCUAUGUCAACCCAGCCUCUGGCCAAGCGAGCUCCCAGCAGGAAACCCAGUCCAGCCCUGGUGUGCGUUCAGUAGGUGCUCAGUAAACGCACAGCUCACAGCCUCUCAAAGGUCAGGGGACCCAGGCUCAGCAGGGAAACGGGUGUGGGGCGCACGGAGGCCUGGGUGCCUCUGCAAUGCCACCCUAUCAGGGCUGCACACAGUGUGGCGAUGUGUUUUUUCCCCCCCUUUUCUUUCUUUCUCUUUUGUAGUUCCCAACCCUGGACCUAGGACACUGAGGUGCACCCCCAGCCUUUUUAAUUUAAUUUUAUUUUUUUAAAGUUUUGUAACAGGAUCUCACUAAAUCACUAAAUUGCCCAGGCUGGGCUCAAAUUUGAGAUCCUCCUGCCUCAGCCUCCUCAGAAACUGUGAUCACAGGCAUGCGCCACAAUGCCCAACUGCUUUCUUUUUUUGGUGCUGUGUAGUAGUUCCACAGCUCUGCUUCCAGCAGGGUUCUCUGUCCCUUUAAGAGGAGAAGCAGUCACUGUUUAAAUUUAUGCCUGGAAUUCCCCCGGCCUGCAUCGCGUGUCUCACGUGUCUCGGGGUCUCAUGGAGGUUUCCACCUCGCCGCACCUGGAAUGGUGAUGAGCUCACCGGCAGAGGGCGACAGAGUCUAUGUAGUCCAGGCUGCCCUUGAACCCUCAGAGAGCUUCCUGCCUCAGUGCUGGGUCAGGAGACCCAGGCAACCCACAGGCUCUCAUGGCCUUCGAAAAAACAGUCGGGUGAUGUUGGGCGCACGGGCACCGUGGGGGCUGAAGAGAUACCUGGGUGUCUAGGGGGCUCCAAGGAGAGGAGAGAAUGAGUUUGUGGACUGAAGUUCUCUGGAGAAGCCACAUGGACAGGAAAGGCCCCACUGACACUGACCUUAGCCUCCUCAUGCAGGGCUAAACCUCCAUGACUGGUGUGUCAGCUGCCUGGAAUGUGUCACCAGCUCCACACACUUUUGCCCCUCUGCGGCACGGGAGAAUGCCCCCCAGAUAACAUCUGAGCCCCAGGAGCGGGAAGCGGCCUGGGCCAGCUGUGUGUGGGCCACCUCCCUGCGGCUCACCUACCCCCUACAACUUCCUGUGUCCACUGCUACAGCGGGGGCAGUGUCCGCAGGCAAAAUAAACUGCUGGCCUGUGUCCUUGGAGGAGUUUCCUUUCUUCCUUGGUACCGGGAUGGAACCCAAGGCCUUCACACGGAGCCACAUCCCCAUCCUUUUUGAGACAGUGUCUCGCUAUGUCAUUAAGUUGCCCAGGCUGGGUUCCAACUUGAGACCCUCCUGCUUCAGCCUCCCAGAGCGCUGUGCUCAAAGGCGUGCACCGCUGGGCAUGGCCUCAGGGUCCUUGUGUCAUGGGGACAAAGUACCAAUCAAACAAGACUGUGAGGAAGGGAAACCGAGGCUGGUGGAAGUGAGGAGAGCCCUCGGGUCUUUUGGGCUGCUCAGGGCUCCAAAGGGCCCGUCAAGGUGUUGCCACCACAUGGUGAGACACAGGGCAGAGAGGAAGGGUCUUCCUGGCCCCUGAGGGUGCAGCCAACACCCUAUGGAGCCCCGCCUCAGCCUCCCCUUGGCACUGGCUGCAGUUCCCGUGGCUCUUGCCCCCGACACUGCUGAGUCUGAGGCAGGGGAGCCGCAGGUUCAGGGUUGGCCUGAGCCACUCAGGAAGACCCUGUUUCAAAUUAAAACCUAAGUAAACACAGAGCCAGACAACAGAUGAUAAAGAGACAGUGCGUCCUAAGGGAGGGGACCCUAGGGUCCAGGGUUCACUGCCCCUGUCCAGGACAGGCCUGGCCCCUUCCGGCCCUCCCUAGUUGUCCUGGGGAUGGGGAUUGAUGGCACUGCCGUGACAUGCUGGCUGCAUCACCUCAGAGCCUGGUUCAAACCACGGUGCAGGCUCCACUUGCUGUGUGACUCGGGCAGGUGCCUCGCUGUGUUUUGCCACAGAGCGAAGGGCGCAGGUGCAACGGGGUCUGCUUGUCACUGCCACCAGCUGAGGACAGAGGCCAGGACAGCCUCGGGCCACACACAGGACACACAGAUGGGGACAUCAAGCUUUAUUUGCUUUCCAGGACGCCAGGUGUGGGGUCUCCAGGAGCCCAGGGGUCCCUGACUCGGGGGGCCAGGAAGAAGCUACAGGGGGGCCUCUCUGGGGACUGAAAUCAGUCGCCAUGGGCAGCAGGGGUUUCCUAGAGACUUCAGUGGGGGCAAAAACCUGAGAUAUCGGGGCCCAGAUCAUGUGGGUUCUUGGAGUGGGUGGGAGGGGGAAUGGCAGUGGGCAGAGCCCAGCGCAAGGCCAGCUGGGGGAAGGGGGCCCUCAGGAUGAGGAAAGAUGUUCCGGU